rnacentral:rRNA from 1 species
CUACGUGCCAGCAGCCGCGGUAAUACGUAGGGUGCAAGCGUUAAUCGGAAUUACUGGGCGUAAAGCGUGCGCAGGCGGUUUUGUAAGUCUGAUGUGAAAAUCCCCGGGCUCAACCUGGGAAUUGCAUUGGAGACUGCAAGGCUAGAAUCUGGCAGAGGGGGGUAGAAUUCCGACGUGUAGCAGUGAAAUGCGUAGAUAUGUGGAGGAACACCGAUGGCGAAGGCAGCCCCCUCGGGUCAAGAUUGACGCUCAUGCACGAAAGCGUGGGGAGCAAACAGGAUUAGAUACCCUCGGUAG